rnacentral:rRNA from 1 species
GAUGAACGCUGGCGGCGUGCCUAAUACAUGCAAGUCGAGCGCGAGAAUGAGGAGCUUGCUCCUCAUAAUCGAGCGGCGGACGGGUGAGUAACACGUAGGCAACCUACCCUUGAGAUUGGGAUAACUACCGGAAACGGUAGCUAAUACCGGAUACGACUUUUCCACACAAGUGGAAUUGUUAAAAGGCGGAUUUAUCUGCAGCUCAUGGAUGGGCCUGCGGUGCAUUAGCUAGUUGGUGAGGUAGUGGCUCACCAAGGCGACGAUGCAUAGCCGACCUGAGAGGGUGAUCGGCCACACUGGGACUGAGACACGGCCCAGACUCCUACGGGAGGCAGCAGUAGGGAAUCUUCCGCAAUGGACGCAAGUCUGACGGAGCAACGCCGCGUGAGUGAUGAAGGGUUUCGGCUCGUAAAACUCUGUUGUUAAGGAAGAACACUUGAGGUAGUAACUGGCCUUGAGAUGACGGUACUUAACCAGAAAGCCACGGCUAACUACGUGCCAGCAGCCGCGGUAA